rnacentral:rRNA from 1 species
GAGGGGUGCAAGCGUUAUUCGGAAUCAUUGGGCGUAAAGGGUGCGUAGACGGCUUAUCAAGUCAACUGUUAAAUUCUCCGGCCUAACUGGAGGUCAGCAGUAGAAACUGAUAGGCUUGAGGUUGGAAGAGAGAAGUGGAAUUCUCGGAGUAGCGGUAAAAUGCGUAGAUCUCGAGAGGAACACCGAUGGCGAAGGCAGCUUCUUGGUCCAUACCUGACGUUGAGGCACGAAAGCGUGGGGAGCAAACAGGGAUUAGAUACCCUGGUAGUCCACGCCGUAAACGAUGAUCACUAGACGUUAAUUCUGCUUGCAGAAUCAGUGUCGUAGCUAACGCGAUAAGUGAUCCGCCUGGGGAGUACGGUCGCAAGGCUA